rnacentral:misc_RNA from 1 species
GAUGAAGAACGUAGCGAAAUGCGAUAAGUAAUGUGAAUUGCAGAAUUCAGUGAAUCAUCGAAUCUUUGAACGCACCUUGCGCUCCUUGGUAUUCCGAGGAGCAUGCCUGUUCGAGUGUCAUGAAAUUCUCAACCUUUCUGGCUUUUGCUAGUCAGGCUUGGAUUAUGGGAGCUGCUGGCUUUUGAAGUCGGCUCUUCUAAAAUGUAUUAGCAAGAUCAUUGCUGCUCAUCAUUGGUAUGAUAAUUAUCUAUAUCAUUGAGAGUCAGUUUCCUUUAUUGGAAGAUUUUGCUCCUAACGGUCUUUAGCAAGACAACAUUUGACGAUUUUGACCUCAAAUCAGGUAGGACUACCCGCUGAACUUAAGCAUAUCAAUAAGCGGAGGA